rnacentral:rRNA from 1 species
UAAUAGCGUAUAUUAAAGUUGUUGCAGUUAAAAAGCUCGUAGUCGGAUGUCGGGCUCGGGGAGGCUGUCGGCCUUUGGUCGGACGGCAUGUCCGGGCCUUUCUGCCUGGGGAUCCUAUUCUACUUAACUGUAGGGUAGUGGGACGCAGGCCGUUUACUUUGAAAAAAUUAGAGUGUUCAAAGCAGGCCUACGCUUGAAUACAUUAGCAUGGAAUAAUGGAAUAGGACUUUGGUCUUAUUUGUUGGUUUAUGGGACCGAAGUAAUGAUUAACAGGGACAGUUGGGGCCGUUUAUAUUUCGUUGUCAGAGGUGAAAUUCUUGGAUUUACGAAAGAUAAACUUCUGCGAAAGCAUUCGGCAAGGAUGUUUNCAUUGA